UGGGGAAUAUUGCACAAUGGGCGCAAGCCUGAUGCAGCCAUGCCGCGUGUGUGAAGAAGGCCUUCGGGUUGUAAAGCACUUUCAGCGAGGAGGAAGGUGGUGAGCUUAAUACGCUCAUCAAUUGACGUUACUCGCAGAAGAAGCACCGGCUAACUCCGUGCCAGCAGCCGCGGUAAUACGGAGGGUGCAAGCGUUAAUCGGAAUUACUGGGCGUAAAGCGCACGCAGGCGGUUUGUUAAGUCAGAUGUGAAAUCCCCGGGCUCAACCUGGGAACUGCAUUUGAAACUGGCAAGCUAGAGUCUCGUAGAGGGGGGUAGAAUUCCAGGUGUAGCGGUGAAAUGCGUAGAGAUCUGGAGGAAUACCGGUGGCGAAGGCGGCCCCCUGGACGAAGACUGACGCUCAGGUGCGAAAAGCGUGGGGCAGCAAACAGGAUUAGAUACCCUGGUAGUCCAGCGCUGUAAACGAUGUCGAUUUGGAGGUUGUGCCCCUUGAGGCGUGGCUUCCGGAGCUAACGCGUUAAAGUCGA
rnacentral:rRNA from 1 species